rnacentral:rRNA from 1 species
UCAAAAACAUAGCCMAUAGAUAUAUAUUAUUGGUUAUUUYUGCUCAAUGAAUAUUAAAUAGCCGCAGUACUCUGACUGUGCAAAGGUAGCAUAAUCAUUUGGCUUAUAAUUGAAGUCUAGUAUGAAUGAAAUAAUGGAGAGUGACUGUCUCAUAUGUGUAAAUUUAACUUGCUUAUCAAGUGCAAAUACUUGUAAAAAAAUAAUAGACGAGAAGACCCUAGAAAUUUUAAGAAUUUUAAUCAACUCUUUUUGUUGGGGCAACAGUGUAACAGUAAAUUUACAUUUCGUUCGACAUGAAAUAUAAUAGAUAGAAUAAAUUACUCUAGGGAUAACAGCGUAAUGUUUUAACGAUUGCGACCUCGAUGUUGGAUUAGGAUGCGAAAA